CGCGUUGACGCAUCGUCGUAAUGAACACAGACAGCAGUGGCGUAUGUCUGUCCCCUGCUGGUCGACUCCGUACAUACAAUAAAGUUACAUCAUAUCCGGGAAGCGAUUUCAAUUUCACACAGCUGGUAAAGGUGAAGACUUUUCCAGCGAGGCUGAGCCUGCAGUGGCACUGUCCUUUCCUGUAGUGUCUGCUAGAGAGACAUGGGGCUGUUUGAGGCCCUGCUGUGACGCUUCAUGGCAGGGUUAUAGGAAACGUCCGGAUGGCCUUAAUAAAACCAGUUCCCCAGUAACUGUGUGCACUAGUGCUGGGGCUCAUCACUGACCCAAAGCUUCAGGUUUCACCAAUACAAGAAGACUGAGGUGCAGAUCUUGAGGUGGAGAACCAGUUCGUCUGCUGUGGAAACAUGUGAUGAAAGUGUUUUAAUCACCUCCCAGUGUUAACAAGUGCUUUUUGCACUGCCCUUGUUAACUAUCGUGUUAAAUGCAGGUUCCUAUAGAGACAUGGUGAUGUGCCUUUAUAUGUGAAGCAGCAAAAUAAGGACCUAGUCUGACUCCAUUUCCUCUGUAAUCAUCCAAAUCACCUAAGAAAAGAAAAAAGCUAAACUUAUGUAAAAGGUAAAAUUAUAAUUGAAAUGUUUAAUUGUUGC